rnacentral:rRNA from 1 species
AACGAACGCUGGCGGCGUGCCUAACACAUGCAAGUCGUGCGAGAAAGUUCCUUCGGGAGCGAGUAAAGCGGCGCACGGGUGAGUAACACGUAGGUAACCUGCCCCCCAGUCUGGAACAACUAGAGGAAACUCUAGCUAAUGCCGGAUGAGACCACGAUCCCUUCGGGGGUUGCGGCCAAAGAUGGCCUCUACUUGUAAGCUAUCGCUGAGGGAUGGGCCUGCGGGCCAUUAGCUUGUUGGUGAGGUAACGGCUCACCAAGGCUGUGAUGGCUAGCUGGUCUGAGAGGAUGACCAGCCACACUGGGACUGAGACACGGCCCAGACUCCUACGGAGGCAGCAGUGGGGAAUAUUGCGCAAUGGGCGAAAGCCUA